UCAACUUCACCGCUUUACUCCA
rnacentral:siRNA from 1 species